rnacentral:hammerhead_ribozyme from 1 species
GCACCCCUGAGGAGUCCCAUAAUAGGACGAAACGAGCGUCAGAGUGU